AAAAAAAAAAAAAAAAAACCUUCCAAGUCAAGAGAUGCCAGCCUUGAGCAAAUUUCUCACUCAAGUCAAUGGUAUUUGUCCUUUGAUUAUUUAAAUAUAGAUUUCCUCAUGCCUUUUCUGGUAUACAUGCACUUCUAAACUUCUAGACCAAUGGCUGAAAUUUUCACCUAUUUACAGUGUGCUGCAUAUUCACUGUUUAUUAGAAUUUUAUUUUAUUGAAAAUAUUGAUCAG
rnacentral:misc_RNA from 1 species